GGGGUCGUGGCCCAGGGGCUGAGCAUCUGUUUUGCAUGCAGAAGGUCCCAGGUUCAAUCACUGGUAUCUUCA
rnacentral:tRNA from 1 species